GCUCGGCCCCGGGGCGAGAAAGCAACGGCUCGGUCUUGGGGGGCCUCGUGUAGCCCGGCCGAGCCCAGCUGCUGGGCCGGCCCCGACUCCUCCCCUCCGGGCGCGGCCUCCACCUAAGUCUCCCGCCUCCCUCACCUGCCGCCGCCGCCGUAGUUGCUGCUGCCGCCUGCCGGUCCUCUAGCUUCGACAAAGAGCCGCCUACCCUCUCGCCCUUCCGCUUCCUGCGGAAGAAGCGACGCUCUAGCCACCAGACCCGGAACUACUCUAUGGUGUGCAGAGUACUUGAGCGGGUCGCCGCAGGAAGUUCCCAGCAAGCCUUGCGUGUCACCAUAGCAACCCAGGCCAACAACACAGUAGGGCCCCAAAAGCGGGAACUUAAGUUUCCGUGAGCCCAGAGCAGAGUAGGGGUGGGACGGCUUUUCACCGCUCUCAGCCGCGAAACCGUCUUGAAAUCCGUCCCCUUGCGUGUACGACACCCAACACGGCGAGGGCCACCCAGUUAUCGAGCUGCUCCGAGGGCCUGGGGCCAGAUGGUGGCCAGGGACGGGGGUCCCAGCCCGGGCCGUAGCCUCCGUAGCGUGCCUGACACCCUACAGCACGGGGCACUCAAAAGGCCUGCUGCACCGAUACACACUCCCCAGGCGAGGGAACCAUAAAAACCACGUAUCAGACAAGACCUUUUUUUUUUUUUUUCUUCAGCUAAGACAGCAGAAGAGAUGAUUUAUUGUACACGUUACAUUCAGCCACAAACGAAAACAGAAUUAGUCCCGAAAGUAACAGGUCCAGGGCAAAGGACCAAGGAGGGACGGUUUGGGGAUGAUCAAGUCCGGUCUCUCAAAGGUGGUCGUCGCGAUCAGAUGGCGAUGGAUGUUCUAGAUCCACUGUAUCAAGCUCUAGAAAGGAGGCAUGCAGUCCAACAACUGGUCCCAGCGUCCCUGGCCUCUGGCUUCCCUGAUCUCUGCUCCCGUGGCUCCAUGCGUGCACAAGCUAGCUGUUUACUUGGACCUCUGCCUCAUCUUUCUUCUUUUACGCUUCAGCCUGAAAAGCAGACACGGGAAUACAGCUCUUGCCCACAAACGCCAGUUCAGUCCUUCCCUCCCAUCUUCUGGGCCGGCAAGACCGACAAGCCCUUGGCUCCUAUUAUCUUGUGUUCAAUCCCUGACUAGGGAAGUCAAUACUUCCGAUGGUUUUCCACCUAAAAUUAGUUUAGAUUUCUACACCAAGUGUGUUCCUCCCACGUUUUGUCCAAGGAACGCUACAUUUCCCUCUUCCCGUUUUGGCCGGUCAGAUCUCAACAUACCUGCGCAUUCGCUUCUUCCUCCACUGGCAACCGAUCAUAACCACAGGCAGUGAACAAAACAAGAGAUUAUUAGGUUUAGGAAUAGUUUUAGGCAGGGGUGUAAACGGCAUUAUUUAAAACCUGGCAGGUUUUUGACCAAGUAUGAGGGCCUAGUCGCAGUAACCCGAUGAGUAAUUUGACUCCCUCCCUCAACCGCCGACAUAAAUCUGAAUCUCCGUGCGCUUUUCUCCUCCCGCCCUCUUACCCACCUCCUCUGCUUCUCCCCAAAUUCUCCUCCCUCCUCCUAGCUCGUGGACAUCCCGGAGGACCCAGCGGCUCGGGAGCCAUGGCGGACUUUCCUAGCCUGGCUGUGUCCCCCCCCUCCCCCCCCCCCCCACCACCAAUCGCUACUGCGUCCGCUUGCCGCCAGGGACCGCUUACCUUGGCUCUCAUGGCGCAGAGGUCUCUACAGGUAAAGAGAGAAAGGCUACAAUUAGUUUGCUGUAAUGAUGGCAAGUGCAGAGAUCAGAUGUUAAUGGAUUGUGCACGGAAUCCGGACACGACAGGAACCAACACUCACCCGGGAAGAUGGCGCUAACGCCGAGAGAGCGGCGACGGCCCGCCUCCAACUAUUUAACAAGGAGCUGUGUCGUCACUUCCGCCGCCUCUUCCCUCCGGGGGCGGGGCUUCCCAAGGGGAGGCUCCGUGGCUUUCAGCCCGUCUCCGGUGGCAAGUGAAGCGGUUGAAUUAGGAAUUCUCUUGGAAACGUUUUACAUUUGAGUCUCAAAAUUCCCCUCCUCUGUUUUUUUUUUUUAAUUUUUUUAUGAGGACCAUUUUAAUGUAUCAUUUCAACGUGAGCGCGUAUUUCCAACGUGGGACGGAGAGGCGCAGACUUCCGCCUUCCCUCACUGCUUCUUGGGAGUUGCAGUUUCCUGGCGACGCCGUCCAUUUUAUUAAGGCUAGGGAAUCUCUCAAAACAUUUGGCGGUAGAGAGUGGGAAUAAAAAGCAAGCAGCAGCAUAUCCUCCCCCACUCCCCAUAGGUAGAACAGAAUUCAAAGGAGGCCACCUACCUGAGCUACAUCAACCACAAAAGUGUGAGCCACAUUAGCGAUGAAGCCAUCCACAUGGACCCCAAGGUCACUAAAAGGCAAGAAGAGCAGAGCACAGCAUUAGCAACUAGCACUACGCAAAGGCUUAGGAAAAAGACAAGUGCUCUAAAACGGCUUAAGCUUACAUUUUUACCAAGUCACCUUCCUUGAGAAUAUAGUCCUGGUCGCUCUUCAAAGGGGAGAAGUGACAUACACAGUUAUUUACUGAAAUGCUGGUGGGAAAGGCAAUACCUGUAAAGAGACAAUCAUCAGCCUUACUGCCUUGCUGUCUGUCUGUCUGUCUGUCUCUCUCUUUCUCUCAGCCCUGUUGCCCCUCAGAAAAAUGGAAGGAUUUUCUUCAGGGCCUUGCCUGUUUGAUCAGUUUGGAUUGAGUAGGAAACUGAUUGUAUCCCACCUGCCAUUCAAAUUUCCAAAUAUCUCAACCAGGGCUCGGAUGGGGGUUACAUCAUUACAAUAAAACAAACAGGACUGAGUAAGAGUCAAAUUUGGGAAAUUAGUGGGGUUUUUUUGUGUGUGUGUGUUUUUUUUUACCUUUCUUCAUUUCUUUUUCUUUCUUGAAAAUUUUCCCUGUCUCUUCCAUAAUCAUGGCAUCACCUUUCUCACACAGGCUCAGUACCGACACACCUGAGCAGGAUGCUUCCACCAAGGACCGAAGUACCCCUGGGAACAGAAUCCCACAAUGUCAGCCCUGCAUGUGUUGUCUAAGUUACCAUCCAAAUAAUAUCCAGAAGUUAGAGUUACUAAUAUUCCGUAGUGCCAUUGCCCAAAGGCUGAAAGAAUGAACAGAAAAGUUUUGCCUCUUGGAAUAUAGCUACUUAUAAUCACUAAAUUUCUACUUUCUUUUUCCUAAAAUAAAAAAAUCCCUCCCUA